AGCCAAAUUGUAGUCUUGCAAAUCAAAUACAAACCUACUACAUAAAAUGCAGUCUUCGAGCAUAUGCUCAUAUACCCACUGAUUCCAGCAAAAAGCUUUAAAAAAAACAAGAGCAUUAAGUUCUCAGAAAGAUAAAGUGGAGCAUCAACAUACCCAUAAAACCGGUAGGGUAAGUCUUAUCCGUCCUGACUUUGUUGUCAACAAGGACAUGUCGCUGCAUCAAGAUGGCAAUGACUUCACGAUAUGUAAGAGCAUACUUCAGCCUGUUUCGCAGAAUAAGGAUCAAGGG